GAUGAACGCUGGCGGCGUGCUUAACACAUGCAAGUCGAGCGAGUGAGUUCUUCGGAACGAUCUAGCGGCGGACGGGUGAGUAACACGUGGGCAACCUGCCUCAUAGAGGGGAAUAGCCUCCCGAAAGGGAGAUUAAUACCGCAUAAAAUUAUCGAGUGGCAUCACAUGAUAAUCAAAGGAGUAAUCCGCUAUGAGAUGGGCCCGCGGCGCAUUAGCUAGUUGGUGAGGUAACGGCUCACCAAGGCGACGAUGCGUAGCCGACCUGAGAGGGUGAUCGGCCACAUUGGGACUGAGACACGGCCCAGACUCCUACGGGAGGCAGCAGUGGGGAAUAUUGCACAAUGGGGGAAACCCUGAUGCAGCAACGCCGCGUGAGUGAUGAAGGUCUUCGGAUUGUAAAGCUCUGUCUUUGGGGGCGAUAAUGACGGUACCCAAGGAGGAAGCCACGGCUAACUACGUGCCAGCCGCCGCAGUAA
rnacentral:rRNA from 1 species